GUGGACUCUCAAGCGUGAGGUAAGGGCAUCUGGUGAAUGCCUUGGCAUGUACAGGCGAUGAAGGACGUGGCACGCUGCGAUAAGCGUGGGGGAGCUGUGAGCAAGCUUUGAUCCCGCGAUUUCCGAAUGGGACAACCCAUCCUCACCAUUUAUCUUGCGGUCGUUUCGGCGGCAGCAAGAGUAAAUGGGGAAGGAUAUCACCUUAGUGAAUAAAAUAGCUUUGGUGAAGCGAACCCGGAGAACUGAAACAUCUCAGUACCCGGAGGAAAAGACAUCAACCGAGAUUCCGUUAGUAGUGGCGAGCGAACGCGGACCAGGCCAGUGCCUGAUAUUCAACUAGCAGAAGCUUCUGGAAAGGAGCGCCAUAGCGGGUGACAGCCCCGUAUGCGAAAGUGAUGUAUCAGGACUCGAGUAGGGCGGAGCACGUGAAACUCUGUCUGAACAUGGGGGGACCACCCUCCAAGCCUAAAUACUCGUACAUGACCGAUAGUGAACCAGUACCGUGAGGGAAAGGUGAAAAGCACCCCGAUGAGGGGAGUGAAACAGUACCUGAAACCGGAUGCCUACAAGCAGUGGGAGCCUCUUUAUGGGGUGACCGCGUACCUCUUGCAUAAUGGGUCUGUGACUUAGUGUAUCAAGCAAGCUUAAGCCGUUAGGUGUAGGCGCAGCGAAAGCGAGUCUGAAUAGGGCGAUUGAGUUUGAUGCAUUAGACCCGAAACCCGGCGAUCUAGGCAUGACCAGGCUGAAGGUGCGGUAACACGCACUGGAGGGCCGAACCGUUUAAUGUUGAAAAAUUAUCGGAUGAGUUGUGUUUAGGGGUGAAAGGCCAAUCAAGCCGGGAAAUAGCUGGUUCUCCGCGAAAUCUAUUGAGGUAGAGCGUCGGAUGAUUGCCGUUGGGGGUAGAGCACUGGAUGGAUGCGGGGGUCGCGAGAUCUACCAAUUCUAACCAAACUCCGAAUACCAACGAGUCUAGUCCGGCAGACAGACGGCGGGUGCUAAGGUCCGUCGUCAAAAGGGAAACAGCCCUAACCUACAGCUAAGGUCCCCAAGUCAUCACUAAGUGGGAAAGCAUGUGGAAAUCCCAAAACAACCAGGAGGUUGGCUUAGAAGCAGCCAUCCUUUAAAGAAAGCGUAACAGCUCACUGGUCUAAAUAAGGGUUUCUGCGGCGAAAAUGUAACGGGGCUAAAGUGAUGCACCGAAGCUUAGGGUUCAGUCUUUGACUGAGCGGUAGCGGAGCGUUCCGUAGGCCGAUGAAGCCGUCUGGUAAUGGACGGUGGAGGUAUCGGAAGUGCGAAUGCAGACAUGAGUAGCGAUUAACAGUGUGAGAUGCACUGUCGCCGAAAUUCCAAGGGUUCCUGCUUAAAGCUAAUCUGAGCAGGGUAAGCCGGCCCCUAAGACGAGCCCGAAGGGGGUAGUCGAUGGGAACCACGUUAAUAUUCGUGGGCCUGGUGGUGUGUGACGGAUGCCGUAACUUGUCAGUCCUUAUUGGAUUGGUCUGGCAGGGAAGGUGUUCCAGGAAAUAGCCCCACCGUAUAGACCGUACCCUAAACCGACACAGGUGGAAUGGUAGAGUAUACCAAGGCGUUUGAGAGAAGUAUCCUGAAGGAACUCGGCAAAUUGCCUCCGUACCUUCGGAAGAAGGAGGCCCUGCAUUAAGGCAACUUUUUGCAGGGGGCACAGGCCAGGGGGUAGCGACUGUUUAGCAAAAACACAGGGCUCUGCUAAGUCGGCUUCAAGACGACGUAUAGGGUCUGACGCCUGCCCGGUGCUGGAAGGUUAAGAGGAGGAGUGCAAGCUCUGAAUUGAAGCCCCAGUAAACGGCGGCCGUAACUAUAACGGUCCUAAGGUAGCGAAAUUCCUUGUCGGGUAAGUUCCGACCUGCACGAAUGGCGUAACGACUUCCCCACUGUCUCCGACAUCGACUCAGCGAAAUUGAAUUCCCCGUGAAGAUGCGGGGUACCCGCGGUCAGACGGAAAGACCCCGUGCACCUUUACUACAACUUUGCAGUGGUGCUAGGUGGCACAUGUGUAGGAUAGGUGGGAGCCGUUGAAGCCGAGCCGCCAGGUUCGGUGGAGGCACCCUUGAAAUACCACCCUUGUGGCACUUGGCAUCUAACCGCGGCCCGUGAUCCGGGCCCGGGACCCUGCAUGGUGGGUAGUUUGACUGGGGCGGUCGCCUCCCAAAGAGUAACGGAGGCGCGCGAUGGUUGGCUCAGGCUGGUCGGAAACCAGCCGCUGCGUGCAAGAGCACAAGCCAGCCUGACUGCGAGAGCGACGGCUCGAGCAGAGACGAAAGUCGGCUCUAGUGAUCCGGUGGUCCCGCGUGGAAGGGCCAUCGCUCAACGGAUAAAAGGUACGCCGGGGAUAACAGGCUGAUACUCCCCAAGAGUCCCCAUCGACGGGAGUGUUUGGCACCUCGAUGUCGGCUCAUCACAUCCUGGGGCUGAAGCAGGUCCCAAGGGUUCGGCUGUUCGCCGAUUAAAGUGGUACGUGAGCUGGGUUUAGAACGUCGUGAGACAGUUCGGUCCCUAUCUGCCGUGGGUGUUCGAGACUUGCGAGGAUCUGCCCCUAGUACGAGAGGACCGGG
rnacentral:rRNA from 1 species